CCUACGGGUGGCUGCAGUGGGGAAUAUUGGACAUUGGGGGGAACCCUGAUCCAGCCAUGCCGCGUGUGUGAAGAAGGCCCUCGGGUUGUAAAGCACUUUCAGUGAGGAAGAACGCCUGGUGGUUAAUACCCAUCAGGAAAGACAUCACUCACAGAAGAAGCACCGGCUAACUCCGUGCCAGCAGCCGCGGUAAUACGGAGGGUGCGAGCGUUAAUCGGAAUUACUGGGCGUAAAGCGCGCGUAGGUGGCUUGAUAAGCCGGUUGUGAAAGCCCCGGGCUCAACCUGGGAACGGCAUCCGGAACUGUCAAGCUAGAGUGCAGGAGAGGAAGGUAGAAUUCCCGGUGUAGCGGUGAAAUGCGUAGAGAUCGGGAGGAAUACCAGUGGCGAAGGCGGCCUUCUGGACUGACACUGACACUGAGGUGCGAAAGCGUGGGUAGCAAACAGGAUUAGAUACCCGAGUAGUC
rnacentral:rRNA from 1 species